rnacentral:rRNA from 1 species
AUUGAACGCUGGCGGCGUGCUUAACACAUGCAAGUCGAUCGGUAACAGGUGUAGCAAUACAUGCUGACGAGAGGCGGACGGGUGAGUAAUGCUUGGGAAUCUGCCUAUUAGUGGGGGACAACCCGGGGAAACUCGGGCUAAUACCGCAUACGCUCUACGGAGGAAAGCCGGGGACCGCAAGGCCUGGCGCUAUUGGAGCGGCCGAUGUCCGAUUAGCUAGUUGGCGGGGUAAGAGCCCACCAAGGCGACGAUCGGUAGCUGGUCUGAGAGGACGACCAGCCACACUGGGACUGAGACACGGCCCAGACUCCUACGGGAGGCAGCAGUGGGGAAUUUUGGACAAUGGGGGCAACCCUGAUCCAGCCAUGCC